CCUACGGGGGGCAGCAGUGAGGAAUAUUGGUCAAUGGGGGAAACCCUGAUGCAGCAACGCCGCGUGGAGGAUGAAGGUUUUCGGAUUGUAAACUCCUUUUGUUAGAGAAGAGAAUGACGGUAUCUAACGAAUAAGCACCGGCGAACUCCGUGCCAGCAGCCGCGGGAAUACGGAGGGUGCAAGCGUUACUCGGAAUCACUGGGCGUAAAGAGCGCGGAGGCGGGAUUGCAAGUCAGAUGUGAAAUCCUAUGGCUUAACCAUAGAACUGCAUUUGAAACUGUUAUUCUAGAGUAUGGGAGAGGUAAGUGGAAUUCUUGGUGUAGGGGUGAAAUCCGUAGAGAUCAAGAGGAAUACUCAUUGCGAAGGCGACCUGCUAGAACAUAACUGACGCUGAUGCGCGAAAGCGUGGGGAGCAAACAGGAUUAGAUACCCUUGUAGUC
rnacentral:rRNA from 1 species